AACGAACGCUGGCGGCAGGCCUAACACAUGCAAGUCGAACGAUAUAGUGGCAGACGGGUGAGUAACGCGUGGGAACGUACCUUUCGCUACGGAAUAGCUCCGGGAAACUGGUGGUAAUACCGUAUACGCCCUUAGGGGGAAAGAUUUAUCGGCGAAAGAUCGGCCCGCGUUAGAUUAGGUAGUUGGUGGGGUAAUGGCCUACCAAGCCUACGAUCUAUAGCUGGUCUGAGAGGAUGAUCAGCCACACUGGGACUGAGACACGGCCCAGACUCCUACGGGAGGCAGCAGUGGGGAAUCUUGCACAAUGGGCGAAAGCCUGAUGCAGCCAUGCCGCGUGAAUGAUGAAGGCCUUAGGGUUGUAAAGCACUUUAAGCGGGGAGAAGGCCUGACG
rnacentral:rRNA from 1 species